rnacentral:rRNA from 1 species
CACGCNGUAAACGAUGAGUGCUAGGUGUUAGGUCCUUUCCGGGACUUAGUGCCGCAGCUAACGCAUUAAGCACUCCGCCUGGGGAGUACGACCGCAAGGUUGAAACUCAAAGGAAUUGACGGGGGCCCGCACAAGCGGUGGAGCAUGUGGUUUAAUUCGAAGCAACGCGAAGAACCUUACCAGGUCUUAACAUCCCGAUGCCCGCUCUAGAGAUAGAGCUUUACUUCGGUACAUCGGUGACAGGUGGUGCAUGGUUGUCGUCAGCUCGUGUCGUGAGAUGUUGGGUUAANNNNNNCAACGAGCGCAACCCUUAUUGUUAGUUGCCAUCAUUCAGUUGGGCACUCUAGCGAGACUGCCGGUAAUAAACCGGAGGAAGGUGGGGAUGACGUCAAAUCAUCAUGCCCCUUAUGACCUGGGCUACACACGUGCUACAAUGGCUGGUACAACGAGUCGCAAGCCGGUGACGGCAAGCUAAUCUCUGAAAGCCAGUCUCAGUUCGGAUUGUAGGCUGCAACUCGCCUACAUGAAGUCGGAAUCGCUAGUAAUCGCGGAUCAGCACGCCGCGGUGAAUACGUUCCCGGGCCU